rnacentral:piRNA from 1 species
UGAGGAAAGCCUCUUCUGAAAGACAUCGAC